rnacentral:rRNA from 1 species
GAUGAACGCUGGCGGCGUGCCUAAUACAUGCAAGUCGAGCGAACAGACGAGGAGCUUGCUCCUCUGACGUUAGCGGCGGACGGGUGAGUAACACGUGGAUAACCUACCUAUAAGACUGGGAUAACUUCGGGAAACGGAUGCUAAUACCGGAUAAAAAAUUUAACCGCAUGGUUUAAGAUUGAAAGACGGUUUUGCAUCACUUUAUGAUGGUACCGCGCCGUCUUAGCUAGUUGGUAAGGUAAAGGCUUACCAAGGCAACGAUGCGUAGCCGACCUGAGAGGGUGAUCGGCCACACUGGAACUGAGACACGGUCCAGACUCCUACGGGAGGCAGCAGUAGGGAAUCUUCCGCAAUGGGCGAAAGCCUGACGGAGCAACGCCGCGUGAUUGAUGAAGGUCUUCGGAUCGUAAAACUCUGUUAUUAGGGAAGAACAAAUGUGUAAGUAACUAUGCACGUCUUGACGGUACCUAAUCAGAAAGCCACGGCUAACUACGUG